rnacentral:lncRNA from 1 species
AUUGCAAGUUCAUUUCUCGUGGCUUUUCUUUCCCUUUCAUAGAUGGUACUUGUACUUUUACGAAAGAAUUUUGGGAUCACUUAUUAAUGAUCCAACUUUUGCUUUACCUUACUGGAAUUGGGAUCAUCCAAAAGGCAUGCGUAUACCUCCCAUGUUUGAUCGUGAGGGAUCAUCUCUUUACGAUGAGAAACGUAACCAAAAUCAUCGCAAUGGAACUAUUAUUGAUCUUGGUCAUUUUGGUAAGGAAGUUGACACACCUCAGCUACAGAUAAUGACUAAUAAUUUAACCCUAAUGUACCGUCAAAUGGUUACUAAUGCUCCUUGCCCUUCCCAAUUCUUCGGUGCUGCUUACCCUCUGGGUUCUGAACCAAGUCCGGGUCAGGGUACUAUUGAAAACAUCCCUCAUACUCCGGUUCACAUCUGGACCGGUGACAAACCUCGUCAAAAAAACGGUGAAGACAUGGGUAAUUUCUACUCAGCCGGUUUAGAUCCGAUUUUUUACUGCCACCAUGCCAAUGUGGACAGGAUGUGGAAUGAAUGGAAAUUAAUUGGCGGGAAAAGAAGGGAUUUAACAGAUAAAGAUUGGUUGAACUCUGAAUUCUUUUUCUACGAUGAAAAUCGUAACCCUUACCGUGUGAAAGUCCGUGACUGUUUGGACAGUAAAAAAAUGGGAUUCGAUUACGCGCCAAUGCCCACUCCAUGGCGUAAUUUUAAACCAAUCAGAAAGUCAUCAUCAGGAAAAGUGAAUACAGCGUCAAUUGCACCAGUUAGCAAGGUGUUCCCAUUGGCGAAGCUGGACCGUGCGAUUUCGUUCUCUAUCACGCGGCCAGCCUCGUCAAGGACAACACAAGAGAAAAAUGAGCAAGAGGAGAUACUGACAUUCAAUAAAAUAUCGUAUGAUGAUAGGAACUAUGUAAGGUUCGAUGUGUUUCUGAACGUGGACAAGACUGUGAAUGCAGAUGAGCUUGAUAAGGCGGAGUUUGCAGGGAGUUAUACUAGCUUGCCGCAUGUUCAUGGAAGUAAUACUAAUCAUGUUACCAGUGUUACUUUCAAGCUGGCGAUAACUGAACUGUUGGAGGAUAUUGGAUUGGAAGAUGAAGAUACUAUUGCGGUGACUUUGGUUCCAAAAGCUGGCGGUGAAGAAGUGUCCAUUGAAAGUGUGGAGAUCAAGCUUGAGGAUUGUUAAAGUCUGCAUGAGUUGGUGGCUAUGGUGCCAAAUUUUAUGUUUAAUUAGUAUAAUUAUGUGUGGUUUGAGUUAUGUUUUAUGUUAAAAUGUAUCAGCUCGAUCGAUAGCUGAUUGCUAGUUGUGUUAAUGCUAUGUAUGAAAUAAAUAAAUGGUUGUCUUCCAUUCAGUUUUAUAUCAUUUUUUGUCAUUCUAAUUAACGGUUAACUUUUUUUUCUACUAUUUAUACGAAGCUACUAUACUAUGUAUAUCAUUUGGAAAAAUUAUAUAUUAUUUUACUAACUAAUAAUUUUAUAUCAAAUAUAUUAUUUAUUUUAGAUUUAAAGUUUCUUUCUGUGUCUCACUUUAUGUGAAUUAUUGUUCUUUUUAGAUAGUCCCAAAAAGAAUGAGAUAUGUCUACAUUCAAUAACAAUUUGACUAUAAAAUAUUAUAUUAUUCUUAAUGAAAUUAUUUAUAACCACACAAAUUUCUAUCUUUAUUUAAGUUAAUUUUUUUAAAUUUUUUUUAUUUCUUUCUAAAACUCUAUGCCGAGUCAAGCUACCUUAGGAGGCGAAGGAAUAAUAAAUUCUAAAAUAGGGAUGCAUAUAUAGGAAUUAGAAGAGAGAGGACUUAAAGCCCAUUUGACUUAACUUCUAAAAAGGGUUCUUUAUUUUUAAAAAAAGGAAAAAUUACCAAGUACACAUUUUUUUUAUCCUAUUUACUAUUAUUAUUUUAUUAUUUCGAUCACUUUUCUAGAUAUAUCAUUCUAAAUAAUCACUCAUUAUUUUUUUUAAAGUCGAAAUGACUUCAUGGUAUCUCUAACUACCUCUAUCAAUCCAUGGUAUCAUUGCAAAAUAGCUCUUCAUCCAUUUUUUUCCAGUUCAUUCAUUAUCGCUUUUAAUUUUUUUUAUAGCUUUUUCCUCUCUAAAUUUGGAAUACAUAUUGUUGACGCUUCAUCUUUUGUAUUGUGAUUACCCAAAGGAUGUAUUUUCGAUUGAAUCGACUUUGAAAAAACACUCUAAAAAUGAGGGAGAAGGUCGAGUUAAUAGUGGCUCCGAUAAAGGCAUUGGAUCGAGAUCUGCAGGUGGCGCCAUUAUGGAAAGUGGAAAAGUAGCUACGGGAUUUGAUAUAGAGCAAAUGAGAAAGUAUAGAAGGAUCUCUUCAUAUUUUUUUUUGCUUUCAACAUAUCAAAUUAUCGAUUAUUAUGUUUUGUUGUUCAUUUUUUUCUGAUACAUAUGAGUUUAGAUUUUUGAUGUAUCUAGUUGUUUUUGUUUCUUAAAUUAAUGUAUAAUUACUUUGUUUUAACACUAUGAUACAUUACAAUUUUAUCAUGCAUAAUGUAUCGUGUUCAAAUAUUAGUUAUAGUACAUAACCUUAAUUGAUUGAAACACAAAUUAGUAUGUAUCGUGUUCAUAUUUAUGUGUCACGAUCCAGACCAUCGUGAUAGACACCCACACUAACCCCCCAGUGGAAAAACCAUUGAUACUAAUUAGCUAACCAAGAACUACACAACUUAAUCAAAACUAAGACAUUUAAAAUUACAAAAGUAGGUUUAAAUACUAAAGGAAAGAUAGGGAGUUCCCAUAAACUCCAAUAAAAGUCCAACAACCAAAUGCAGAAAUAAUGCCUAAAACAUGAAAGUCAAUGUACAAAAACAUCUAAAGUUCAAUAAGUCUAAAAAAAUGGGUACAACCCAUUUAAACACAAGAAAAUCCUAAGUACUAAUUUAAAUCCUAAAUAGGGUCAUAAACGAAAAGAGAACUCAUGGCAGCUUGGAAGAACUGACUCACCCUUGAAUUCGACUAAUCACCGAUCUUCUAAGCGAAGUUUGUCAGUAGUCUCCUGAAGAUGCACUGUACUCAACAAGGAAAGAGCAAGUGUAGUAUCAGUACACAACCACAAUUAUUGAUAGAAUCACACGACUAUUUCACUGAGUGCAACAUACAUAAACCAUUACAACAUAAUAAAAAUGCAUAUAUCGAACAUAUACAAUAUCACUUAUCACUUACGAACCACAUAUAGUUUCACAAUUCUCAAUAUACACAAUUAUGUCAAGUCAAUGGCCCUUUCAUCGAAUACACACCCAAACUAUUAGUGUACCGGUACGUGGUACCUAUUCUAAGUUAGUAUGUCAGAUCGUGACAUCCAUUCCAAUGUUAUUACGGUACGUGGAAACCAGUCCCAAUUAGUGUGUUAGAACGUAACACCCAAUCCACUCACCAAGCCACAAUCACAAUGAACAUUCUCAUAAUCAUACAAUCAAGUCGUGAUUCAUGGCAUGCAAUUAUAUAUCCUCAUUUACGAUUAGUGAAAUCCACAAUGCAACAUUCUCAUACAUGCAUACAUUAUAAUGAAGCAAAUACCAACAUAUAUCAUACAAUAUGAAUCACAACCAUCACCUACCUCGAACAAAGCUUGAAUUCCUUAACAAACUUAAUUCUUCCCUUUUUGAAUUUUUUUCGCAUGGACUUCAAACAAUCAAUAUAACACGGGGAUCAAUAAAUAAUAUUUAAUUACCUGGAUUAAAUUCAACAUGAUCAACCUUAGAUCAGACUCAUGAUCCCAUGACCAAAUUAGAGUUUUUCCCACCAUCCAAAAAACCUAAAACCCUUCCCCAACAAUAAUUACCCACGAAUCUAACUUCUAAGGAUCGAAAAAUGGAUUCAGGAAAUGAAAAUCUUACCUUUAGCCUCAAAAAUAGUGGAAAAUGUAAUGACCCCCAAGGUUAUAUUAAUUUAUUUAUGGUUAAUUAUAAAUAAUGAAACUAACAGAUAGUUAGUGGACUAAAAUGAUCAUUUAUUUAAUAUCCUAUACAAUUAUGGUCAUAUAUAUAAAAAAAAUAAGUUAAUAAUUUUGAUCAGAUUAAUAAAUAAUUAAUUUAAAAAAGAAAGAGAGGCAGAAACCUUACUUAAGCCGACGCACAUGAAAGGAAAAGAGCUAUCGAUCUGCAGGUAACAAUCACUAGUACUUUGUCGUAAUUGAUUUUUGGUUAAUUGAUUAUGGGUAAAUGCAAUAUUUUAUGAAUUUAAGAAAUGAAUUUGAAAGUGCAAUUAAUAUUCCAUCUGUUGCAGUAUGGUUAAGUAUAGUUGGGGUAAAUCGAAAAAAAAUGGUUAGUUUUCAUUGGAGGUAAUGUUAAAUACAAAAUAAUAAAAUUAAUUAGGUGCUAUUGGAAUGGAAAUUAGGUUAGAUUGCUAUAUGUUUGUUACAUAUGACUAUUCUGGAAAUUAAGGCAAGUAUUGAAAAUAAAAUUGGAUAGGUAAUGAUGGCCAAUGUUUGGCCCUCAUGAGCCAAUCAUUGGUGGGGAGGAAAGAAGAAAACAUAACACAGAGUUAAUGUGUAUUCAUUUCGGUAUAAUUUUCAUAGUCUUAGUUAUUAGAUUAUAGUUUAAAUUUUGAUAUAUUGGUAUGUAUAUUUAAAUAUUGAAUGAAUGGUAUUUUGUGAGUACCAUUUAAAUAAUGAUGUUGGAAAAAUUUGGGAUGCAAUCUUAGACUUGAAACUUGGAUAAUAUGAUAGUUGAAAUGUUAGUUGGCAUCACAAAUUAAGAACUUGAUCAUAAAUUUGGGUAAUGCAUAAGUAUCCCCUCAACCUAUGCCCGAAAUCCCAGAGACGCACUUAUACUAUACUAAGGUCCUAUUACCCCCUGAACUUAUUUUAUAAGUAAUUCUCUACCCCUUUUUAGCUUACGCGACACUAGUUUGAAACAAAAAAAUCAACCAUCGUUGGGCCCACAAGAUAGUGCCACGUGGGCUAAAAAGGGGUAAAAAAUUAUUAAUAAUAUAAGUUCAUGGGGGUAAUAGGACCUUAGUAUAGUAUAAGUGUGUCUCUGAGAUUUCGGGCAUAGGUUGAGGGGGUACUUGGGAAUUAUCCCUAAAUUUUUAGGUAAAGGUUAAACACAUGAUAAUGUGGGUAUUGUUAGUUCCGAAACCUUAUUGUGAAUAUAUAUACUUGAAUAGAUUCCAUCGAUUCGGAAGCUCAACGGAAAAGGAAGGCCCAAGAGUGAUUAUUCGAUUGGCAAAGGUAAGUGCAUUUCUAAAUCCUUGUUAAGCGUAUGAAAUUCGUGUAGUUUCUUGUGUGAUGUUUGAGAAUGAUUUGGAGGCUUGUUGCUUAUUUCUUGAUGUUGUAUUACGGUUGCAUUGUUGUGAAUUGUGUCUUGUUAUCAAAAUGAUUAUUUCCUCAUUAUUUGUUUAAACAUGUCAUUUGCAUUGCAUUUGAAACAUGGUUGUGAUAAGAGUUAUGUUAUAAGAUAUACCAUUUCGAGGGUCGUAUCGCGUGCCGCGAUAGAUAUUAUAUUUCGAGAAACGUAUCGCGUGUCACGACGCUUACUAUUAUCGAGGGUCGUGUCGUGCGCCAAGGUAGAUGUAUGGACAUAUAUGUCUUCAUGGGUCCCAGACUGAGAGACGAGUGUGUAUCAUUAGGGCAGACAUGCAUCACUAUACUUGGCAUUGCAUCUCAUGGCAUUACACAUUUUUAUUAUUGAUGAUCUUGAACUUGUGUUUUGCUGAUCUUGCAGUGUUUUUCUGUGGAACUUGUGACUGUGAAUAUUGAGUUGUUAUAGUGAAUAUGUAAUCUGAUAAAGUGUUGUUGUUGAGCUGUGUGCUUUGUAAACUGUGAACUGUUAGGUGGUAGUGUGGAAAUUCAGAUAUGGUUUAAGGAGUACCCGUAUUUUGUUCUCUUAUCUUGUGUUUAGAAGUUUGCUUGUUGGGUAUCGAGUGGUUUGAUACUCACCUAUUGCUUCUACAAUUUUUUAUAGGUUACGAGCCCGGAUCUUUGUGAUACCUUCCAUUCUCUUUGUUUUCGAGGCAUCUUGUGGAGAAUUUUGAGGUAGUUGUUUGUCACCUCAACGAACCUUCCUACUCCAGUUUUAUGACUUUGUUUUUAUUUGAAAGACAACUUCAUUUUAGAGUCGCGUGCUUUAUUCAAUUGUAAUAUUUUCAUUAGAGACUUGUCCACGUGACAACCUGAUUUUGAGGAUUGAAUUAAGUUGACUUGUUUUCUUAAUUGAAACUGUUGCUGAAUUUUUGUUUAUUUUUGCACUUUGUUAGAUGUUGAGUUUUAGGCUGACUUGUCUUGGUAGGAUUAGACGAGUGCCAUCACACCCAUUUUUGGGUCAUGACAAACUAUCAAGAAAACACCUGGAUUGUUCUUUAUUUCUCAAAGUUGAAAAGUACAUAAUAAAACGUUCAUUGGGUUUAUUUUCGACUUAAUUCACAAUUGUCCCACCAUGGAGAUUCUAAUCCCGCUACAACAGCCCCAUCCUGGUGGGAAUAAAUCUGCCACAACAGGUUGCACGAAACUAGGAGUCGAAUCAAGAGUUCCAUACUCCCAUUUACAACACAUCAAUCCAUGACACUCAUAAACUACUCGUUUACAGCAAGAUCGAUUUCACGAGUUCUACUCGCUCAAAUUCAACCUAUAAAGUCGCACGAGUUUCUUAACGUCUUAGCUAUCUAGUCAUGUGAUCAAAAUCAUAAUUAGAUCUCUCAAUUGCUAUCAGAUUUUCCUAGACCUUACUGACUCCAAUUUCUUUCAAAUUUGGACUAGUUGAAAAAUUUCAAAAUACUACAAAAAAGUUUUCGAAGUUUUUUGGCUCAAAAAUUUUCUUCGUUGACUUAUCUAUAACUACUGAUCAUUAAAUAAUGUAUGAAAUACAUUGAUACAUAACUAUUACACAUUUCAUUAUUUUUUAUUGCUAGAUAUGUACACCCAAACUUAUUCAACUAGAAAACUAUGUAUCCCGAGAUAUUAUCAAAUAUUAUUGCUUAUACAUAAGUCCUAAUGCUUAAUAACAGUAUUAAUUAGAUUCCUACACCUAUGUAUAUGACAUAUUUUUUUGUUUGUUCAUGAAUGAUUAUUUUUAGGGAAACUUACAUAAAUAUAUUAUAAUAAAAAAAUAAUUAUCAUUUAUAGCAAUAACAUUUUUUUCACUUGACCAUUUUUAAUUUAUUAUAAUACAAGUUUAAUACAUAUUACAAAUAUAAAUUUAUUAUUCAAAUAUAAUACAAGUUUUAAUGAUGAAUAAUACUUUUAUCACACUUUUUAAUACAUUUAUAAUACAAUGUGAUAGUUUUUUACCUAACAAACAGAAUAUAUGUCAAAAACAAUUAUAAUUCAAAUAUAUUGCAUACAUAAUUCACUUUUAAUAUAUAUUAAAAAUUUAUCAUAAUAUUGCUAUAAAUGAUAAUAAAUAAAAAAUAUCACUAAAAUUAAUAAUUAUUUUAAAAAAUAUAAUUUUUCCUUAUCCAGGUCCAAAGAAAAGAAACAAAUAGAGAUGGAAUUUUUUUUUAAAAAAAAAAAACUAAAAAACACAUGGACAGAAUGCUCUAAAAAAAAGAUUUUUUUCUUCUUCAACAUCUUCUAUAGAUGGCCAGAGAAAUCGGAGAAAGGGCAUGAAGGUUGUGUGACAUAAAAUUGAUAGAAUAACUGGUUGAUUUUUUUAAAUUUUUUAUUGUUAUUUUUUUUUUUGGAUAUAUAUGAACUCAGGUCUAUUUUCAUAUAUCAAAAUAUCUCAAUAAAAUAGAUAUUUUUAUCAUGUAUCAAUUAAUGUUUUCAACUUUUUUGAAUCUGUUAUGAUUUGAGUUUGAUUUAAGAAAAGAAAAUUUGAAAUUUGAAAUUUGAAUUGUUUGAAUAUGUUAUUAUUUAAAGAGAUUGACAUUAAUUUGAUUUGCUUUAUUGGAGGAACUAAUAUUUAAUUUUAAAUGGAUUUUUAUAAAUUAAAAAAAGUAUGAAUAUAAUGUUAUUUGUCCCUUACCCUAUGGUUAUUCCUAAAAAUUAUACUUAUAAAAAUAGUAAAAGUCAAAAUUUUAGUAAUUUUUAAGUUAAAAAUAAAAAGUAAGGAAAUGUCUAAUUUUAACUUUUAUUAAGUCACUUGCAAUUUAUUUUAAGUUAUUUUUAGUUUUAACAACUAUUCCUAAAAACUAAAAAUUACAUAAAAUAGAUUUAAUUAAAUUCUAAUUCAAUUUAAACAGACUUUUAGAAGAGUGACCAGCAUAAUAGCAAUCAGUUUAUACUUUUUGAGUCCCAUUUUGCUAGCUCUUAAUUAUUCUGCAUCAUGUUUUUAAUUAAUCUAAUAUGCACCCAGUUUUAAAUAAGUGGUCUUCUCAUUUUAUUGUUUUCAUUAUUUUUCAAAAUUAGUCAUAUUUCAAAAUUUUAAGAAGAAAUUGGUCUUAUUCUUUUAGGGGUCCAUUUGUUAGGAAGGAUUAAAAGAAAUAAUUCACAUAUUAUCUAUAAAUAAUUCAUGAAAUUAGAAAAAUCGACACAACACACAUCAUAUUCUUUUAGAACUCAAUAAUUAGUAAUUAUAUAUUCUUAAGGUUGACAUUCAAUUACAUACAUUACUCAAUAAUUAUAGACCUUUGUGGCCCUUAAAGUUGUCUUCAUUAUUUAUUUAGACACCUCAAUUUAACCUUUUACCUAUUGAACACUUUUACUUAUAUAAAAUUUUUCUAAUUAGACACAUUUUGAUAAUCAACAAAAAGUGUCAAGUGUGUGUGAUGCACUUGCGAUGACAUGGCAAACUAAUUAAUUAAAAGAAGCCACGUGUCUUAAAAAAAGUAAUCUAUCUUUUGUGCUCGAAAAUAAUUAUAAUUAAAAAAAUAAAAUCCUAAAGUAUGUAUGUUCCUACCACCGCUCAGACCUGCUCCCCCCUCCCCCACAACUUCAUCUUCUUCCUCCUUUUUUUUUUUAUAAAAAAAACACUUAAUCACCUGAGUUUUUGUACAGCUUUUUAUCUAAUUAAUGUUUUAUUUUUAAGCUUAGAUUCAAUUCAUGUUUGAGUUGAUUUGGCAUAAAGAAAAAGAUGAUUGGUGAUAUUGUUUUUUAAUGAACGAAUUAAAAUUUGUGAUUGACUGUUUGAAAAGCUAUAAAGAAAAAAAGAUAUUGGCGAUGAUAAAUUUGGAGAAAAAUGAGGUGGUGUUCGAUGGCUGGUAAAAAAGGAGAAAAAAGAUGAUGGUCUGAAAAAAAAAAGGAGAAGAAGAUGACCGAAAAAAUAAAGGAAAAGAGCACUGUGAAUAUGGUAACGCAUAGUUGAUUAAAAAACAAGGUGGCAUAGAAAAGAAGAAUGAUUGCAGCUCGAAAAAAAAAUGGAAUGAAAUUUAAUGGUGGGACACCGGUGAUUGCAAUGGUGAGAAUAUGGUUCCAAUAGUGGUUGAGUCAAAAAAGAAGAUGAAGAGAUGCUAAUUUUAUUUAUUUAUUUUUUUUAAAAAAAUUUAUUAUUUUUUGAUUAAAUGAUACCCUUUCAUGCUCUUUAUCAUGUGUGUACUAUACACAUGCUGCUAUGUCAGCAUAAAAUGUUUAAUAGGUACAACUCUCUUACUAUAUUUGUGUUUAAAAGGUAUACAAUUAAAUUGAGAUGUCUAAAUAAAAUAUAUGGACAAGUUUAGAAGAUUGUGUAUGACUUAAGCCAUAAUUAUAUAUUCUUACGUUGACAUUGAUCAACAUACAUUAGUUUGUAUUCAUUAAAAUCAAAAUUCCAAUUUUUAAGAGGAUUUAUGAAAAUCUCUCUUGCCCAUGAAACUAAAAAAAAAAAAUUCACUCUAAAUUAUCGAACUAAUUUUGUAUUUUUUUCUUCUCAAGAACGGAUCCAAUUAUAUUUCAUGUUUUACACGUUUUGUGCUACAUUACCUUCACGAUUUUUUGUAUAAAUAAAGGUAGCAACCCUUGCACAAAGAUCACUCAUAACACAAUACAAUGUCUUCUUCUACUCCUAAUACUCUUCCUUUAUUAUCCACCAACAAAUCCCUCUCUUCUCCCUUCACCAACAACCACUCUACUUUCUUAUCAAAACCCUCUCAACCUUUCCUCCAUGGAAGGCGCUGUCAAAGUUUCAAGGUUUCAUGCAACGUUGGCGAGCAUGACAAAAACCUUGACGCUGUUGAUAGGAGAAAUGUUCUUUUAGGGUUAGGAGGUUUUUAUGGUGCAGCUAAUCUUGCACCAUUAGCCUCUGCUGCUCCUAUACCACCACCUGAUCUCAAAUCUUGUGGUGUUGCCCAUAUAGAUGAUAAAGGUACUGAAGUCUCAUACAGUUGUUGCCCUCCUGUACCUGAUGAUAUCGAUAGCGUUCCGUACUACAAGUUCCCUCCUAUGACGAAACUCCGCAUCCGCCCCCCUGCUCAUGCGGCGGAUGAGGAGUACGUAGCCAAGUAUCAAUUGGCUACAAGUCGAAUGAGGGAACUUGAUAAAGACCCUUUUGACCCUCUUGGGUUUAAACAACAAGCUAAUAUUCAUUGUGCUUAUUGUAACGGUGCUUAUAAAAUUGGUGGUAAAGAAUUGCAAGUUCAUUUCUCGUGGCUUUUCUUUCCGUUCCAUAGAUGGUACUUGUACUUUUACGAAAGGAUAUUGGGGUCACUUAUUAAUGAUCCAACUUUUGCUUUACCUUACUGGAAUUGGGAUCAUCCAAAAGGUAUGCGUAUACCUCCCAUGUUUGAUCGUGAGGGUUCAUCUCUUUACGAUGAGAAACGUAACCAAAAUCAUCGCAAUGGAACUAUUAUUGAUCUUGGUCAUUUUGGUAAGGACGUCGAAACACCUCAGCUACAGAUAAUGACUAAUAAUUUAACACUAAUGUACCGUCAAAUGGUUACUAAUGCUCCUUGCCCGUCUCAAUUCUUCGGUGCUGCUUACCCUCUGGGUUCUGAUCCAGAACCAGGCAUGGGUACUAUUGAGAAUAUUCCUCA